rfam:Danio rerio chromosome 18, GRCz11 reference primary assembly.
CCGUGAGCAGCUAGCUCUCUGCAACUCUCACAUGGUCGCCCACUGAAGCUAAGCAGGGCUGCGCCCGGUCAGUACCUGGAUGGGAGACCACAUGGGAAAGCUAGGUUGCUGCCGGA